CCCGUAGCUGGCUCUUGGCUCGGCAACCGUUUGCUUCGUAAAGCUAUCAAUAUGGGAUGCAAAGGUACGUCUAGUCAAAACAGAUCCGCCUACAUCAGCUCUGGAAAUAAUUUUAAAUAACACGGGAACGAAGAUGCAUCUAGACAAUGGGGGAAUGAGGGAGGUCCACAACGGUUAACCAGACAGCUGCAAGCUAUAUCACGUCAUACAGCAUCCCAGCAAACAAGAUGACAGCUCUAACGAAGUCUGUGAACUGGAGUCACAGCGAGAGGCUAGACAAUGGAAGGCGUAGCAGCAACCCUGCGGAACUUCGUAAAAUCGUUCCAUCCGUCUAUACGCACAAAACAACUCGAGAAUAGCUUAAUGGAUUCUUAUAAAAUUUGGCAG